AUUCCCGUAGCUCAAUUGGUAGAGCAUCGGUCUCCAAAACCGAAGGCUGAAGGCUCGGUCCCUUCCGGGAAUGCCA
rnacentral:tRNA from 2 species